rnacentral:rRNA from 1 species
UCGGGAAUUUUGCACAAUGGCCGAAAGGCUGAUGCAGCAACGCCGCGUGAGCGAAGAAGGCCUUCGGGUUGUAAAGCUCUGUUGCCUGCGAAGAAGGGCCCUGUCAGGAAAUGGGCGGGGUUUGACGGUAGCAGGCGAGGAAGCCCCGGCAAACUACGUGCCAGCAGCCGCGGUAAUACGUAGGUGGCGAGCGUUGUCCGGAAUUACUGGGCGUAAAGGGCGUGUAGGCGGCCUGUUAAGUCAGGGGUGAAAGACCGGGGCUCAACCCCGGGGGUGCCUCUGAAACUGGCGGGCUUGAGUGCUCUAGAGGGCAGUGGAAUUCCCGGUGUAGCAGUGAAAUGCGUAGAGAUCGGGAGGAACACCAGUGGCGAAGGCGGCUGCCUGGGGAGUCACUGGCGCUGAGGCGCGAGAGCUAGGGGAGCAAGCAGG